GAAGCCAAGUUUUAUGGCAACAUGAUUGCCAAGAUGAAUAAGCUGGGCCCUAUUGACUCUAUUGUAAGUGUACAUGUUUUGUUUAUAUGAACUAGGAAAUCUUUGGCCCCGGUAACAAUGGCCUGCUGCAAUAUCUCGUUUGGGAUGAACCCAGUCUCUAGCGGCUGCAAACAUUCUUCCUAAGAUAUUUCUUAUCAUACGAUUAUUUUACCAGCGUUUUUGUUGAUUCUAUUUUUCAUCCACAGAAAUCUGAAGCUGAGGCAGAGCCAAUGAGCAUAGACAGCAAGGCGUGAGAAGGGAGGAAAAUGGAUGAUUAACUGGAAUAAGAACGAGCAAAGUCCUAGUUUUUGGAAUUUUUUUUUCAUAUAGUUUGGCUUUAAAUUGUCGAGAACUCCCAUUGGGUAUUUUGAGAUCAGAAAAUUGUAAUGGAUUCUUCUAACAGAGUUGGCUGAAUGGGUAGCGACAUAAAGAAAUUAGUCCCAAAUUUAUCUUUUUGACUUGCAUUCCACUUUUAUUCCUUGAACGCAUUGGUCCCAUGUAUAUUUUCAGCCAUCUCUACGAUGAGUUGAAAAGCUUGCAAGUUGUUGAAGAGUAUGUUCGAUUUGGGUAUAGUUUGGGCCUUAUUUUAAGUUUUGUUUAAUGAACGAAGGACAACUAAUUUUGAUAUCCAA
rnacentral:misc_RNA from 1 species